GGCCACCAUCCUCCGCAUGAAGGGCUGGAUGUCCUUCUGCACGCACUUGAAGUAGGAGCAGUGGGGCAGAUACCUCUCCUCCACGGUGGAGCAGUGGGCGUGUCAGUAAAAUGAAAGCUGCAUUGCGGGAGGGAAGGUGGACAGCUCUGGACUGCAAGGUAAAAGGCUGCGGUCCCAGAAGGGAAGGAUGCAUUGAGGAAGUGAACUGGCAACUCUGAGGCUGGUGCCACUGAGAAGGCUUUGGAUUCCUUGACCAUGGCAUGCACUUCAGGAAGAGAGGACUCCUGGGAAGGGACAGCAUCCACUUCACGAGGAAAGCCAAAGUGUAACCAACAGGUGAAACUACAUGUUUUCGCUGGCAGUCCUCCAGGUGCCAUUUGGGAAAGCAGCUAUGAAUAAACACUGCUGCAGACUCCUUAUUUGUGUGCGGGAGCCUUGGUCAUGGAGCCUGAGAUGUUGGAUCCAGGAUGGUUUCCUGGACACUUGCAGAUUGCUGGAGACAUAUGCGUCGACAGCACUGGAAACACGAGGACCAAAUGGGACCCUCAAUGUGAGGCAUUAGAAUGGUUAGUGACUGCUUGCACCCACUGUACUGCUGCACUUGAAUAAGCCGCCUAGGCUGAAGAAUGCCCUGUGAAGGUCCAAGGAUGAGGUCUGUGGAUGGCCAGCUACUCUUUGAGGGAGGCCGCACACACCACUAUAGAGCUGAGAGAGUUACAGCACCAGAUAGGGAGUUUAUGCACAGGAUCAAAGACCGCUUGGGAUCCAGCUGAGUGGUGUCAGCACUGCCUCCUGUGGAGAGACCAUUGCCCUCCCAGGUAGGCUGCUGUCCAACUCCACCCACCUCACAACCCCGGCAUGGAGAGCCCCGCUCCAGGGAUUUCUCCCUGGGCUCCAAAACGUCCACCCCACCCUCCAGCGGGGGCUAAAAACCCCCAGAAUGAAUUCUCUCUUCUCCCUUUCCUCCCUCCCAUUCUGAAAACAGCAGCAGACUGGAAGGCAGAAGUUACAGAAGACACUCUGUUUUGAAACAUCUUUAUCUGACUCCUCAUGCAAUGAGGGUUCAGAUUUUUACCUGAUAGGCCAUAUUUUAAGUGGUCUGCAGCUGUGCAUUUGUGUUUGGUCAUGGCUAUAGACCGCUUUCUGUGGCCAGAUCGGGUGAAAAUUGUCAUUCUGUCUGUGCCCCAAGGGCACUUUUACACAUUUAAGCUCCGCAGUGCUUGGCGCUUUGAAAAGUUGUAUAAGCAGCAAAAUGCGCUUCAGUGCUGAGAAAAUGACAGCAGCAUGCUUUUGAACUAAAACACAUUUGGGGCGCUUUAGUUCAAAAGCACACCACCACCAUUUUCUGCACGCUGACACACAUUUUGCUGCUUAUACAACUGCACAUGACACAGGGCAGUUUGCAUCAGUCUGCUCCAAAGCGGUGGAUCUCCAGCAUGUCAUGUCACAAAAAGGUCUGUGUAUAAAUGCUCAAUGUGACUUGGCCAAAAUGAAACAGAAGUCCUUGAGUACUUGGGACUGAACCCAGGCUUCGUAAGUCACGAUUCAAUGCCUUCACCACAGAAGCAUUUGUCUUUUCAGAGCAGCUUCCCUUGUAUCUCUGAGCUUUUAUAGCUUUUACCAUAAUAUUAGCACUAACAGAAAAAGAAGGGAUUUUUUUUCUUUUUCAGAAGGGUAGUUGUGAGGGAGUGGGAAACCCUGAAUGUGGGUAGAUGAAGUAGAGAAAUGAGAACAUAUAUCUAGAGGUUUAGCAAAGGAUGUAUUUUUAACUGUUUACUUUCAGUUUUGCUUAGUAAUUUUAACCUUGCCUGGAAUGCACUUAGAUUGCAAGCAAUGAGUAUAUCUGCAUUUUUAUUUUCGGUUUGAAUUUUCAAGUGUUGCAGUCUGUAACCAUGUGUUUUCAAGUCACUUUCAGAAUCUAUUUUUAUGGCCUCAUCAAGAACAAGUUACUAAUUUCUAACUAGUUCUCCUUUUCUUAACGGAUGCAAGAAUAAGAUUGCUAUGGUGCACAUGCAUCACUAAUGGUUAAUGUCUAAAUUCCUAGAAGAGGGGAAGUCACACAAUAGUUCUGAAGUUGGCAAGAUAUACAGUGCAUCAUAAUAUGUUUAGCAUACAAAGAUGAAAAGAGAAAAAAAUAUGUAGAAGAGGAAGGAAUUAGUAUGUUUUAUGAGACUGAGAAUUUAUGGCAUUUUUAGAGCCAAGUGACAGAGAUAUUAACCCGACUCUUUCCUAGUGGUAGAUCCAGGUGAAUAUCUCAUCUCAUACCAGUUGUCAGUUACAUUAUGGAACAACAGUAACACAAUGAGCAUAUGGGUCUGCUGAUUGUAGUGAUCCUUUAGCACAGACCAAGAGUGGGCUUCAGAAGCCAAAAGAGAUCAGUUGAAAUAGUGCAAGGAAGUGUUUUGGAAUUUCUACUAGGUUUUACUAUGAAAUUCUGUAAAGCCUCACUCUCAACUGUCCUCCUUAUAUGGUGAGUCCCAUUAAAAUAUGUACCAGGUUUUAGCCAAAGACAAAGUUAUCGUGCCACAAUGUUUGGAUAUGGUCUUCCUCUUCUUGUUCAGUUCUUUUAAAGUACAGUUACUGCAGAUAUCUUAGAAUCUAUUUGUUAGCUACUUAAACCAUGCUAAAGGAAUGUAUAGAAAAAUGUCUAAUGCAUUUGAGACUUUAAUUCUUAUACAUCAUUUGUGAUAGAAAGCAUUCUCUAUAACAUCAAACUUUUUUAGUCAAAUGUUCAUCUAUGUUCAUUGGGAGCCCAUCCAAAUUUCCAGUUUCUACUUACAUCACCUCCAGGAAUCCCCUGAGGUGGCAUGUGCUAUUACUCUGCCUCCUCUCAGAGUAUGACACUGUAGCAAGAUUCACAAGUACUCUCUGGAGCGUCUACCUGAAGAAUUCUUGUCUGGUCCAUCAUGGUGUUCUUCUAACCCCUGUAAGUCCCUGCACCAGUCAUUUGGGAUUGUCCUGCUACAUGUGAUGAGAGUGGGAAUGUGCAGUUAAUUCAACGCUUCUGUAUUUCAAUAUGGGCUCGAUAGGUUCAGUUCCUGAUUUGGAUUCGUUCUUAUUCUCUCUGUACUAACACUCAGAUUCCAGUUUCCCAUCUUUUGUGUGGCCACCUGAUUGUUUUCUCUGUCUGGUUUGUAGCUGUUUCUUUAUACCUCUUCUGGAGGAAACAGCUGCCCCUUGUCUUUUCCUUGAUCAGAAUGCUUGUACUUGAUAUGUAUUUGCUCAGCACUGUGGGCAAAAUAUUUGAUACACUGAGCUGGUACCCUGUCAGAGGAAAAGCUCUCAUCAGCUUUGACUGGAGUAGGAUUAAGAUCGCUGUCCUUUUUUCUUCCUUAUGCUGCUCGAAAAUAGCUAUAUAUCCUAGUUUAGGGAUUCUCAACCAGGGUGUUGUGGCACUGUGGGGUGCCAUGAGAUUCUUUCAAGAGUGCCACCAUGUGCCAGUCAAUAUUAGUACUGUUAGGUGUGCAAAUACCUACACAUUAUUCACAAAAUAAACCCAGAGAUUUCAAGUAGUAAUCUGUAGUGCCCAAAAUAUUCUGACCUGUUGUGGUCUUCCUGAGUUCUUUGCAACAGAAGAAUUGCUCUAAUAUUUUUCUGUAAUCAAAACAUGAGUGAAAGCUAAGAGCUGGCAUUUUCUGAGGGGUGCCUCGAGUCUAACAAGAGGUGCUUUGAGCCUAGAAAGGUUGAGAAUCGCUGUCCUAGCUGAACUCAGUAUUCUCAAUAGAGAAAAAGAAAACAAAGCUGAAAUGAGUGUCUUUGUAAGAACGUGGAAUAAGGAGGGAAUAACUACAGGAAGAGUUGCUUGCUUUAUUUUUCCUUGAUGGAACUGAAAACCUUGGAAGCAGGUGUGAAAGCAACGUGGACUUCAAUAACUGGAAAGUAAUUUUAGUUUUCUUAUAUGAGUGGCCAAAUGCUUUGCUUUUCCAAGGGCAAUUUCUAGCCACUAGGGCAUUGAAAAUCCGACAGUUAUAAUUCACCAUGUACAUGCCAGAACUUCUGGGAAGGCUAAAAAAAUAAUAUAAAAUUCUACAGUGCUACAUAAGAAACCAAGGGAAUGCCAUCAAAUUCUGCAUGGCCUCCUUCUCUAAUAGCCAGGCCUUUGAGAAAGGUGGAGGGAGAGACCAGUCCCUACUCAGCAGUUUUGGGAAAUGGAGAAUGGUUAAAUCAUGGGCUUUACCUUGUCAGUAAAAAUGUAAAAAUGUCAAACUAAAAAAAAAAAAGUGUUUCCAUAUUGGGUGACAUGUUUCUUUUUCAGUUAUAAUUGCCACAGCAGUAUAAGCAUGCAGCACAAGGUUUAGAUUAGUCAAGCACAUUUUUGUGUAUUAUAGUAAAAGAUUCCCUGACCUGCCAACCCACCCCAAAUCCAGGUUUUGUUGGGGAGGGGUUUGGGGGGGUAAGGGGGUGAGGCAUAGAUUUUAUAGUUAAAUUCCAUCUACUGUCUUUAGGGAAGCCUUAAAGUGUGGACCAAGGAGGUUGUUUUCCAUGUACUGUUCCCACUCGCUGUUUUGGGCUAACUUGUAGUAUCUUGUUCUGCUGUAUAGAAUUAGGUAUUUCAAUCGUACUAUGUGUGGACAAGGUAUAUCUCAGUAUAAACAAAGGCAGUACAAACUGACCUUAAAUUGUAAACACUUUCCUUGCUGCCACCGUGACAAUUCUUUCUUCUUGGGGCAAUUCUCUGUCAUCAAGCUGAGCCUGCCAUCCUUGCUCACUUUGAGUAACACUGCAAGUAGUUGCAUUUAAAGCAGAUAGUUGCAUUUAAAGUCUAGUUUUUGGCCCCACACUUCAAGAAGGAUGUGGAUAGAUUGAAAAGUGUCCAGCAGAAAGCAACAAAAAUAAUUUGAGGCCUGGGUGAGGAAAGGCUGAUAGAGAUAGAGUUAUUUAGUAUGGAGAAGGAAAGAUGGAGGAGAGAUUUGAUCACAGUCUUUAAAUACCUGAUAGGUGAUUAUAGAGAAGAUGGAGAUAGAUUUCUCUUUGUUGAUGUGGUGGACAGGGCUUGGAACAAUGGCCUCAAACUGCAGCAGAGAAAAUUUAGGUUGGUGAUAAGGAAGAACUUUCUGACUAUAAGGGUGGUUAACAUUGGAAAAAGCUGUGGUGGCAGGGCACUGACAGUGUCUGCCAUUUUAAGUUUAGUCAGUGAGCUGGAUAGGUGAGGCUAGCCCUCAUUAGAGCAGCCUACUACUUAAGAGGCAAGCACAUAGUGCCAAUAAAAAGCCUUAUGUUACUGUCAGGCAGGAAACUGGCUAAAGGAGCUGGGCUGGGUUAGGGCCCCAUCUCAGGUAGAGGGCUGCCGUCUAGCAGUUACAUCAGGGGAGUGGAAGGAGUUACAACACACAGCUUGAGGACUGUAGCUCCUGGAAUAACUGGAGGAAAGGGUAGGAACCCUUGGGGAUGGAGGAGGUUCCAGGAGACCCGAGAGGGUCCCUAGCCUGGCUGGGAUGGAGAGAGUGGGGCUGUGGACUAGGACUCCUGAGAGUACCCUGCAGGCAUGGAGAGAGUGGAGCCUUCCCAGCUGGCGCAAGGGGCCAUCAGAGGACUUAGAAUAGGUCUAUGGAGCUCAGAGGCCAGGGACACAAGUGGAACAGUGCCAGGCAAAAAGGGUACCAGGAGAGUGCUGAGGAUGAAGAACAUGAGGGUCUUGAGGUCCCAGAACCGGUGUAGGGGUAUAUGGCUCUGAGAGUGAGGUCCAGAGUGAGGGAGAGGGUAGAUGGUCAGGGGGGCAUUGCACCACCUCGACUGACCCAGGUUGGGCCCAGGCCCAGGGGGGAGCGGGUGCAAAAGGCAAAGGUGCUCACCGCAAGGGCCGGGUCAGUGCUGUAGAGGGCCUGGCACCCCAACUGGCUAGAGAGCAGGGCCAGGCCUAGACAGGCAAAGAUCCCUAGAGUAGGGGACCACCAGUGAGAGGUGGGAGCCAGAGUUAUCUUAACUCAUAUGAAGGGGGUGAGUAAAGCCACCUGAAAGUUUUGUUGCAAGGGACUGGGCUGAACAGGAGCCAUGUUAAGCCCGAAGGAGAACCAGGACCCUGAGAAGAGAAAAAUCUCCCAGAUGGGAAGAGGUGUGCCCCAAGGGAGAACUGGGGAGAGCUGAAGGACAGGGCAGGGUGGCCUGCCACUUCUCCUGGGUAAGACCUGAAACUGUACCCUACUGGUGCUGGUUAGUGCAGUGGGGCUGCCUGUGGCAGAGCAGUCUCCAGGAAAGGCCAUACAAGGGCCACUUCAGGGGAAGGUGAGGCUGGGAUGCUGGAAGGCCUCAGCCCCCACUGCCUUGUGGAUGACCCUAUGGAGGGAAAAGGAUAGGGGAGUACAAAAGGACAGAAAAGCACUAUGGGGCCAAAGCCCACUGAGCAGGGUCUGAGGGGCAAAAGGCUCAGGGAGAGGCCAAGGCCCACUGUGUGGGGCCUGAGGCCUAAGGAGGAGUGUAUAAGCCUAGUGAUGGUCCAGGGCCAUGGUCCGGCAAGGGGCCUGUUGCCCAAGGAGAGUAUACACCCAGUGAGGCCUAAAGUGUGUGUGUGUAUGGCUCAGUGAGGGGCCAGAGUAUGAGUAUGGCCUGAGUGGGCCAGAGGCUGAAUUCGGCCCAGUAAGGGGCUGGGGGAGUAGUACAUAGAACAGGAUGCCAUCUGCAAGGCGUGGGGCACAGUGUAGGGAUGGUUUGGAGCUGUGCAUUUGUCCCAAGGCACCAGAGCCACAAAUGGGGCAGCCUCCUGCAUUUCAUAUAUUCAUUUUACAUCAAAGGCAUGGUGGGUGAGAUAAGGGUAGACCCCCUCCCCCCCCAACCAAACAGGGGUGGGGGGGCAUCAAUCUCUUCUGGUGCCUGGGGACACCCCCUGCUCCUCAUUACAGCUACCUAGAGAAGUUGUAGAAUCUGUAUUCCUGGAAAUGUGAAGGGCAGAUUAGACAGACAUUUGGCUGGAAUGGUUUAGUCAGAUGUUCCUUUCUUGAGCAGGGGAUGGACUAGAUGACCUCAUGAGGUCCCGUCUAACCCUACUUUCUUAUGAUCCCACAAUCCUAAAGCAGUAUGGCUAUUUCCAAAGGGCCAGAUUCUGAUAUCCUCAGUCUUGGCACAUCCUCUAUGUGAGAUAUCCUCUAUAUGAGAUGCUUACUGCAUGAUAGCCUAAUAACAACUGUGCAGUAGCCAGUCAAAAACCAUGCUAGCAUGCUACUGAGUGGUGUUAUUAGGCUACAGCAUAGUAAGCAUCACAAAAAAACUGUGCCAGCCCUACUGCGCAGUCGCAUGAGUUACUGUGCAUUUAGUUAGUACUUCAUUAAGCAUGUACAAAACUAAAUGCACAGUAACUACUGCACAUUAAUGAACGUGUAGAUGCACUCAUUGAGGUGUACAUUACUCCUUAAACAGCCUUCUUGAUCUAAUUAACUUCUAAAGGGGACUACUUUUAGAAUAAGGUACAAUGUAAAGUGUUGAAGGGUAUUAGCAUCUUGCCUCUAGUGAAGAGAAACAGAAGGGCAGUAGAAUUUGGUCUGUAGGGAGUGGGUAGAAGGGGGCUUCUGGGGAUAGGUGGGAUAGAAUUAAGGAGCUUCAAGCUUUACUAAACAGUUUUGAUAUGUCUGUGCAGAUACUGCCAGCUUGUGUUAUGGUAAAUGAUGCCAUUUGCUGAGUUCCAAUUAUUUCAGUGGAAUUAUACAUGGAAGGCUAGAUCAUGGCAUUAGGUAGGAGAGGAGGAGCACAUGGUGGUUCUACUAUGGAUCAGGUGGGUCUGGGGAGGGAGUAAACUAGAAUGUAUCUUAUAACUAAUGCAACAUGUACACACAAAACUAGCAAUUUUGGCAACUUGGGCAGAGAUGCUGUUGGGUGCCAGAGAACAAGGAGCACAGAAGAACUUGCUGCUGAAGUUAAGAUGCAUUCAGAAGGGAAGAUAGGGCUCCAUCUAUUUCUAUCUUUUUUUGCCCCUUCUUGCCAACCAUUGUAAAGGAGUGGAUAUGCAGUUGGGAAGCAACAAUCCUUACUCCAUCAAAUUAAUUUUCAGGGCAGACCAUAUUAUGGCCAAGAUGCAUGAAUGAGAAUGAAUAAAGGCAGGAAAACUGGUGGUCAGUGGGCAGAACUCUUGUUCUGUACACUGGUAUUUUCAGUGCUGUGUGUGACCCAUGGCAUGAGCUAGAAACGUGUCAUCACAAGACACCUGCAAAGCACUUGAUAAUAAACACAGGGGCCAGUUGAAACGAAAAAAACCCAUGCAAAGUGAGUUGAUGCUCAGUGCUGAACCAGUGUGUUUGCUGCUGAGUGGCUAUUGAAAAGCAGAGAAUUUGGUUUCCCCCAAUGCACCCUUCUCUGUAGGUUUCAGAUCUGUUAUGAUGUUAUGGCUGGUGGCUUAGAGCCCAUUCCUUGACAACCACCAGCAGUGGCACUUCUGGCUGCGUUUCUGUUAGCUUUUGCUGGUCACUGGUGAACCUGAGAAACCAUUCUGCAGAACCUGAGCGUGGGGAAAACCCCAUGUUAAUUACUGGCCUGCCCUUUUGGCUUGCUUGUCAUGCAAUUUAUGGUAACUAGCACUGUCCUUGUAACUCUAAGGUAACAAGUGGAAACCCUUUUUUCCCCCUUAAUUGUUCAACUGGUUUUACAGUUACCAGGCUGUAAAGCACCUCAUCAUCCUUGUUAAUUCUUUCUUCUUUUUGAGCUGCCAGUUAGUAAUCAAUUAUUACCCUUGUCAUUCAUGCUGCAGCACAGCAGCUGGUCACAGGAAGCCUCUGUUUCAUUGGGCUGUAGCCAAUCGGCUUUCUCCAGCUGUCCCUUGCUGUUCUGAAUCAUAAUGUGUACAGUACUUGUUGCUUUAGAAGUUGUUUUUUUAACAGAGUCUUUAAAAAAAAAAAUCUUCCUUCCCCUUUUCUACUAUUACAGCACAUCUGGCUGAUAGAGGUUAAAGCAAACUCCUUAAUGCUGCAUUUUUACUGCAGAGGCACUUUACGUUAGCACAACGGAUAUUUUUCUCAUAGUCUCUGUUUUAUGAGACGACUUACUUGAUAUAAAGACUGCUGACAGAUCAAAGGUUUCACUAGUAAAAUGAUAUGAAAGGCAGAGACAUUAGCAUCCAUCAAGGUCCUGUUAGGAUGUGCAAAAUAGGGGGUCCUGGGCCUCCCAAGCGAAACCUAGCAGGAAGGUCUGAGAGCCUGCAUAUCCAAUGAAAGGAAAACAAGAGAGGGCACACAGAAUAUUCGAGGAGGUAGUGACCCACAAAAAACUAGCAGCUCGGGUGGCAAUGCACCCUGAUUAAAUGGCCAGAGGAUAAAAUGCUCUCAUGAGCAACCCUCUGGUUAUUUAACGAUGUGCAUUUCAGAAUCACGCUUUGCAUGAUCAGCUACAACUUUGGAGAGUUACGUGUCAAUAUUUUAGCACAAAGCAAUAGACUUUCCCAUUAAUAUUUAUUCAAAGGCAAUGGCUUGGAAAAAAGUGCUUUAUUUGAAACUGCUGGGACAUGAAACCUGAUUGAAAUAUAAAAUUGAGACCUGCAUGAUGUUUGAUAAUUGGGGCUACCUUUUAUAACCUAUAUAUAUAAAAUGAAGUGUAUGUCUGUAUGUAUGUCUGUAAGUUCGCUUAUAACUCAAAAAUGGCUGGUCCUAUCUACUCUAAACCUUCCAAAAUCACUGAAUACCACCUGAAGAAAAUUAUAGGUGGGUUAUUUUUCACUUGACCCUUUUCAGAGCUUCCAGUGACUGAGAUUACUUCAUUUCUCAGAUAACAAAUUGGUACCACUGUACUGAAUGCAGUGAAUUCAGUUCAAUUGUCAUUAUUAUAUGGGCGCUUGCUCCUUUUUUUUUGCUCCAUAUUAAAUAUUAAAUGUUAAAUGUGCUGUACUAUGUUCUUUAAUAAUAAACAAUAUUUUUGACCUAAA